rnacentral:ribozyme from 1 species
AAGAAAAGGGGGGAAAUGGGGCACACAUAGUACUUAAGAUUACUAGUAUAGUGCCUCCCGCGCCCUCCUUCUUUUUUCUUUUUGCUCGGGCUCGCAUAUGUUUCUUUCUUUUCUUCUUCUUCUUUUUUUUUUAAAGGGGGAGCGGGGGGGAACGCGCGCGUCAGGCUGGAGGCAGAACUUCGGAUUUGGACGUUUGGUUUUUUUUUUUUAUUAAAUAAAUGAAGUGAAAA